rnacentral:ncRNA from 1 species
AUAACAGUUGUGAUGGAAAAAAGUAGUGUCUUUGAGCUUUUCAGAGAGUCCCCGGCCGGUGUGAGGGGACAGGGGAGAGGGCAUGAAGUUCAUUCCUGAACUGUACGGCUGAACGUGAGUAGGCUGUACCGGGACGGCUGCCGUUAUACGGCCAUGAGUUGAUCGAUUCGAGAUAAUUAGGGUGGUACCGCGGAAUCUUCCGUCCCUGGCGUACCACUCUUUUUUUAUCCAUAUAUCGAUAAAUUGGGUGGUACCGCGACUGAGUCGUCCCUUUU